CCAAAACUGGUACCAUUUACGCGUGAACGUGCCGCAGCGGGAGCGCGCAUUUACACGGCAGCGCGCGUUAUUGGAAAAAAAAGGGACGAUUUAAAACAAUUUCUACUGAUAACAAGAAAAUAAAUAAAAUUAUAUAUGUGUUUGUGAAUGAAAAGAAGUGAGCAAGAGGAUUGAAGCUUUGGAGCUGAAAGGAGGGGGGUGUCAAGAAGAGAUAACAAGAAGAAGAGCAAGAAGAAGAAGGAGGUAGUACUAAUAAUUACCAUCAUCAUCAACAUAAAAAAAGAAGGGACACAAAAAAAACACCCUGAUGGAGGGUGAAAGAUGUCCUUGUCUCCUGCCACCCACCCGAAAUCGAUUGCGUUACAUCAAGAAAUCUCUCCAGUUUGACGUAUAAAACAGGACGCAUGCUGGGGAAAGAGUCGAGUGUGUUCUCCAGAGCCGGACAGGAAUAUACAUACACUCAUACACAAAGACACACACACACACACACAUACACACACCACCGGCAGUGCCACCAAGCAGUCCGGUGCAAGGACAGCAGAGAAGCGACGCUCGGGGACAAGCAAACUCUGCUGGACCUGCUGCUGCGCGUGAUCGUGGACGGCGAGCGGGAAAAGAUCAACACACGGGACAAAUCCGCCCACGGCAGGCCAAUAGAGAUUGUGCUGAGAGAUGUCACAAUUAAGGACAGGUUUAUAAAACAUUUCACAGCAGGACCAGUCAAGUUUCCGUCAGAGUGCAGGAUGCAUUUUCACCGGAUUUACCACAACACCAGGGAGUGUUCCAGACCUGCAUUCUACAAAAGAUGUGCAAGAUUGCUGAUGAGAUUAGCGAUGAGCCCCCUGUGUGCUCAGCCGUAGCGGCAUUGGUAAAAACAUUUCCUGCAUGAGGACCGUGUAAAGUGGAUCCAGGCCGUAUCCCUGCGAGAUACUGAUGUUACAGAAGACGGAGCUCUGAGGAAUUGGAGCACAUGAAUUUUCCGAGGAAGUGCCUUCCACUCACCCAGUUAGAGCAAGAAAUUAAAAUAUAUCAUUGAAAUACUGUAACAUUUUAGGUUUUUUAACCAUUUGUUUCCAUAUUAAAAAAUCUAUCAAUCAAAAAUACAGUUGGCUUGGAAUUUAAUGGAUUAUUCAACAUCACAGCCAUUUAUUUAUUUAUAUGUUAUGUAAAUAUUCAGUACUGAUAAUCAGAUAAUAUAUUUAAAAAUGUAUGUUUUGUUUUAUAUUGUUUUGUGUCCUGUAGAAAGGUUAAUGAAUAUUUCUUUAUAUAUUCUUUAUUUUAUCCACAUGUUUAAUUAUGUGUUAUGUGAAAUGAGAGUUUCCUCUUUUUUGUCCGAGUUGCUUACGAUGCUGUGGUUUUGUUGUUUAAUGUGACACGUAUAGAAAUCAUUCCAAACUGUUUAAACAAAGAAAAGUCGCUAAUGGAAAAAUUGCACUGAUGUUUUGAAAAAAAAAACAAUUAAAAAAAGUUUCAAGCACA